rnacentral:rRNA from 1 species
AGAAUCAACGCUGGCGGCGUGCCUCAGACAUGCAAGUCGAACGCGAAAGUCCCCUUCGGGGGACAAGUAGAGUGGCGCACGGGGUGAGUAACACGUAGGUAAUCUACCUUCGGAUGGGGAAUAACAAUCGGAAACGGUUGCUAAUACCGCAUAAUGCAGCGGCACCUAAUGGUGACAGUUGUUAAAGCGGGGGAUCGAAAGACCUCGCGUCUGAAGAGGAGCCUGCGGCGGAUUAGCUAGUUAGGUAAGGUAAUGGCUUACCAAGGCGAACGAUCC